rnacentral:rRNA from 1 species
UUGACCUCGAAUCAGGUAGGAAUACCCGCUGAACUUAAGCAUAUCAAUAAGCGGAGGAAAAGAAACCAACAGGGAUUGCCCCAGUAACGGCGAGUGAAGCGGCAACAGCUCAAAUUUGAAAUCUGGCUCUCGGGCCCGAGUUGUAAUUUGUAGAGGAUGCUUUUGGUGAGGUGCCUUCCGAGUUCCCUGGAACGGGACGCCAUAGAGGGUGAGAGCCCCGUCUGGUUGGACGCCGAACCUCUGUAAAGCUCCUUCGACGAGUCGAGUAGUUUGGGAAUGCUGCUCUAAAUGGGAGGUAUAUGUCUUCUAAAGCUAAAUACCGGCCAGAGACCGAUAGCGCACAAGUAGAGUGAUCGAAAGAUGAAAAGAACUUUGAAAAGAGAGUUAAAAAGUACGUGAAAUUGUUGAAAGGGAAGCGCUUGUGACCAGACUUGGGCUUGGUUGAUCAUCCGGGGUUCUCCCCGGUGCACUCUUCCGGCCCAGGCCAGCAUCAGUUCGCCCUGGGGGACAAAGGCUUCGGGAACGUGGCUCUCUCCGGGGAGUG